AUCUUGUACAACAUUUGUAUUUU
rnacentral:piRNA from 1 species